rnacentral:rRNA from 1 species
CAUGUAGGCGGCUUAAUAGGUCGAGCGUGAAAAUGCGGGGCUCAACCCCGUAUGGCGCUGGAAACUGUUAGGCUUGAGUGCAGGAGAGGAAAGGGGAAUUCCCAGUGUAGCGGUGAAAUGCGUAGAUAUUGGGAGGAACACCAGUGGCGAAGGCGCCUUUCUGGACUGUGUCUGAGCUGAGAUGCGAAAGCAGGGUAGCGAAC